rnacentral:rRNA from 1 species
CCUACGGGAGGCAGCAGUGGGGAAUAUUGCACAAUGGGGGAAACCCUGAUGCAGCGACGCCGCGUGAGUGAAGAAGCGCCUCGGCGCGUAAAGCCCUGUCAGCAGGAACGAUAAUGACGGUACCUGUAGAAGAAGCCCCGGCUAACUACGUGCCAGCAGCCGCGGUAAUCCGUAGGGGGGACGCGGUAUCCGGAUUUACUGGGUGUAAAGGGAGCGUAGACGGCGUGGCAAGGCUGGCGUGAAAGGGCGGGGCCCAACCCCGGGACCGCUCUGGAAACUGCCCGGCUGGAGUGCGGGAGAGGUAAGCGGAAUGCCUGGUGUAGCGGUGAAAUGCGUAGAUAUUAGGAGGAACACCAGCGGCGAAGGCGGCAUACUGGAGCGUGACUGACGUUGAGGCUCGAAAGCGUGGGGAGCGAACAGGAUUAGAUACCCCAGUAGUC